AGGUCUUGACAUCCUCUGACAAUCCUAGAGAUAGGACGUCCCCUUCGGGGGCAGAGUGACAGGUGGUGCAUGGUUGUCGUCAGCUCGCGUCGUGAGAUGUUGGGUUAAGUCCCGCAACGAGCGCAACCCUUGAUCUUAGUUGCCAGCAUUCAGUUGGGCACUCUAAGGUGACUGCCGGUGACAAACCGGAGGAAGGUGGGGAUGACGUUUACGUGCACUU
rnacentral:misc_RNA from 1 species